UACAGAGGUCCCAAGCGUUGUUCGGAUUCACUGGGCGUAAAGGGUGCGUAGGCGGUCGGGUACGUCUGGUGUGAAAUCUCACAGCUUAACUGUGAAACUGCAUUGGAUACUAUCCGGCUCGAGGAAUGGAGGGGAGACUGGAAUACUUGGUGUAGCAGUGAAAUGCGUAGAUAUCAAGUGGAACACCAGUGGCGAAGGCGAGUCUCUGGACAUUUCCUGACGCUGAGGCACGAAAGCCAGGGGAGCAAACGGG
rnacentral:rRNA from 1 species